UUAAAAAUUUAACUAGGAUUAUAAAUCAUAUAAUACUUUAAAACUUUUUUACGUACUGUUUUAAUUACCUAAAGUAAUUUUUUAUCUAUUACUUGCAUUGGUCAUUCUUAAAUGGCUUAUAAAGUUUUUUCUUCUGGCUUGUAAAAGUAAGCUGUAAAUCCAUGUACCUCUAGUACCAAAGGCCUUUUUAAUGAUAUUUUUGUAAUCCUUAUGUAAUAAAAGUCUGUGUAUUUUUUUCAUAUAUAUAGAUGAUCUAAAAGCAUUAGUUUUGCUCCCAGAACUUUUGCCCAGCCCAAAUUAUGGUAAAGGAAGAGGGAAAAAGAGUAAAGGCAAAACAAGUAUUUUGGCAUCAGGCUGUUAUUUACAAAAAAACAUUCCAAAUUCUGCACUUCUAAUAUUUGCUAAUGGAAUAGAAGACAUGGAGUCUCUUGAACCAGGGCAGAAUAAGCAACCGAUUCUAGUGUGCAUUUCAAAUUCAUUUUACAUUAAAGCAGAUAACAAGUUAAUAGCAUGUCCAAAUCACGCCAUGAAGGCAUUUGACAUUUUAUUUAAAUCCCAUUUCGUAUUUAGUGUGCAAUAUGCACAUGUAUUAACAAAUUUUUACAAUUUUAUGGGAAGUUUUUUAUACAAUAUAAGCACUCCUAGAGCAUGUGUGGACUCGUUAAAUACAUGUUUCAGCAACAUAGCUAUUGAGUAAAAAUUUAUUGCAUUUUUAA